UUGUACUGAUUAGUUUCAAGAACUACAAUUAUAAAUUAUUCCAACUCAAUAUUCUUUAUUUUUAACAACAAAAACUUAAAUAAUUGAGUAAAUUGCCCUGUGCAAGUGCUCAUGGGAAGUCUGGUGUAACAUCAGAGACAAGAAGGCUGUGAGGAUGUGAGAAUGGACAUGAAGCACCUGGAACAUUCUGGAACAUUCCUUACAAAUCCUGCACCAACACCACUAAUGAAGAGAAGUUGAAUGGAGAUAAAACAGGAGGUGCCAGUUUAUGGGAUGGCGGUGUAAGCUCUGCACAUUUGUCGUAUCAUCAAAAGGAAUUUCGAUCAUUACCGAGUGAAGCAUGGAUAUUUAGUGUCCUGUC